rnacentral:ncRNA from 1 species
UAGAAACUGCCACCGGGUAGAAGAAUGUUAGAAAAGCAUUCGUUUUCACAGCGUUAGGUCUUUGAAGCUGUGAAGCGAAUGCUUUUUUGAU